AUUGAACGCUGGCGGCAGGCCUAACACAUGCAAGUCGAACGGUAACAGGAAGCAGCUUGCUGCUUCGCUGACGAGUGGCGGACGGGUGAGUAAUGUCUGGGAAGCUGCCUGAUGGAGGGGGAUAACUACUGGAAACGGUAGCUAAUACCGCAUAAUGUCGCAAGACCAAAGAGGGGGACCUUCGGGCCUCUUGCCAUCGGAUGUGCCCAGAUGGGAUUAGCUUGUUGGUGGGGUAACGGCUCACCAAGGCGACGAUCCCUAGCUGGUCUGAGAGGAUGACCAGCCACACUGGAACUGAGACACGGUCCAGACUCCUACGGGAGGCAGCAGUGGGGAAUAUUGCACAAUGGGCGCAAGCCUGAUGCAGCCAUGCCGCGUGUAUGAAGAAGGCCUUCGGGUCGUAAAGUACUUUCAGCGGGGAGGAAGGGAGUAAAGUUAAUACCUUUGCUCAUUGACGUUACCCGCAGAAGAAGCACCGGCUAACUCCGUG
rnacentral:rRNA from 1 species